CUACGAUAUUUUAUUACUAUAUUUUGGAGCUUUUUCGAUUGUAGUCGUUCGUCGUCACGUGACCUUAGAAUUUAAUCGGUUAACAUAAUAAUUACGUCAUCACAAAAUAGAGGAAGCUUCCAAACCAUCUCGCUCCAUUAAUUAUGUUACAAUGAAUGCAGUGAUAGUCCGAAACAUUUUCUAGUUAGUAUUAUAAGUUGGUACAAAUACGUUACUGUCGUUACUGUAUAGAGUAUAUUUAAUAUUUAGUUUUCGUCGUUCAACGACCUCUUCUGAAGAGCAGAAUGUUACUCAAGGAUACCUUCCACUGACUAAUGAGUAUUCAGUUGUACAAAUUUAUCUCUUGCAUGGUUGGUGACACUAUAUUGUACAACACCUCUACGGCUACAGCACUUAUAAUAGCAUAUGAACAGUUUAAACAUUUUUUUUCAGUUAGCCAUUUGUCUGAAUCUUAACAUAAAACUACACAGGCGAAUGGGUCAACUCACCGAUUUUCCUAAACAGCUUCCCUUGUAGAAACAAACACUAUUUAAUUGCUAUUUAAUUCCUAUUUUAUUGGGCUAUUUAAUUCCUAUUUAUCAAAGUAUUUAUUUC